rnacentral:rRNA from 1 species
AGAGUUUGAUCCUGGCUCAGGACGAACGCUGGCGGCGUGCCUUACCCAUGCAAGUCGGACGGUCCCUUUUCGCUCGCAAGAGGGAGGGGGGAUAGUGGCAGACGGCUGAGUAACACGUGAGGACCUAUCCAGUUGAGGGGGAUAGCCGCUCGAAAGAGCGGGUAAUACCGCGUAAGCCUGUGGGGCGUGAGGCCUCACAGGGAAAGCAGGAAUGUGAAAGCGGGAAUGCGUGACUGGAGGGACUCGCGGCCCAUCAGGUAGUAGGUGAGGUGAAGGCUCACCUAGCCGAUGACGGGUAGCUGGUCUGAGAGGAUGGCCAGCCAGACUGGGACUGAGAGACGGCCCAGACUCCUACGGGGGGCAGCAGGGGGGGAUCCUGGUCAAUGGGGGAAACCCUGAACUAGCGACGCCGCGUGAGGGAAGAAGGUCUUUGGAUCGUAAACCUCUUUUGCCAGGGAAGAAGGGGAGUGUUCGUGAGAGUGCUCUCUUGACGGUACCUGGCGAAUAAGCCCCGGCUAACUACGUGCCAGCAGCCGCGGUAAUACGUAGGGGGCGAGCGUUGUCCGGAUUUACUGGGCGUAAAGAGCGCGUAGGCGGUUGGGAGAGUCGGCUGUGAAAUCUCUGGGCCCAACCCAGAGGGGUCGGCCGAGACCUUUCGGCUUGAGGGUGGUAGAGGAAGGUGGAAUUCCGGGUGUAGUGGUGAAAUGCGUAGAGAUCCGGAGGAACACCAGUGGCGAAGGCGGCCUUCUGGGCCAAACCUGACGCUGAGGCGCGAAAGCGUGGGGAGCGAACCGAAUUAGAUACUCGGGUAGUCCACGCCCUAAACGAUGGACGCUAGGUGUCGGGGGUAUCGACCCCUCCGGUGCCCGAGCGAACGCAGUAAGCGUCCCGCCUGGGGAGUACGGCCGCAAGGCUAAAACUCAAAGGAAUUGACGGGGGCCCGCACAAGCAGCGAGCGUGUGGUUUAAUUCGACGCAACGCGUAGAACCUUACCAGGGCUUGACAUCUUGCUUAAAGCUGGUGAAAGCCAGUGUUCCCGCAAGGGAGGGCGAGACAGAUGCUGCAUGGCUGUCGUCAGCUCGUGCCGUGAGGUGUUGGGUUAAGUCCCGCAACGAGCGCAACCCCUGUUGCCAGUUGAAGAUCUGGCGAGACUGCCGAGACAAACUCGGAGGAAGGUGGGGAUGACGUCAAGUCAGCACGGCUCUUACGCCCUGGGCUACACACACGCUACAAUGGUUCGUACAACGGGGAGCGAGGGGGCGACCUUUAGCGAAUCCCUGAAAGCGGACCACAGUGCAGAUCGGAGUCUGAAACCCGACUCCGUGAAGGCGGAGUCGCUAGUAACCGUGGGUCAGCACACCGCGGUGAAUACGUUCCCGGGCCUUGUACACACCGCCCGUCACGUCAUGAAAGCCGGCAAGACCUGAAGCCGCUGGGCCAACGGGUACUCGAGAGAGUGCUCGAGGCAGGUGUCGAAGGUCGGGCUGGUGAUUGGGACGAAGUCGGAACAAGGUA